ensembl:misc_RNA 7SK 7SK RNA
GGGUUGGUGGGGUCAGCCUCAGCAACAUCUGUCACUCCAUUGCUUGUCAGGAUUAUUUAGCUGAUUUGUCUGACUGGGCAGGUGUCCCCUCUCUCCCUCAGUGCUCCAUGUGCAUCCCUCUUGAAGCUUCGCACUCUGUUGAAGAGGACACUCAUCCCAGGUAGAGGGGGGAUGGGAAACUGGGCCAAUUGAAUCUGUCCUUUUCUUUCCAUCAGAUCAGGACACUUAACUGGGAUCCAUUGACUUCCUGAGGUCCAUGACCUCCAUGAAGUUCUU